AUUGAACGCUGGCGGCAUGCUUUACACAUGCAAGUCGGACGAGUGGCGAACGGGUGAGUAACGCAUCGGACCGUCCCGAGUAAUGGGGGAUAACUGUCCGAAAGGAAAGCUAAUACCGCAUAUUAUUCGCGCGGACGAUGUCUGAUGAGCGGGUUGGGGGGGUAAAGGCCCACCAAGGCGAAGAUCAGUGGCGGGUCUGAGAGGAUGAUCUGCCACACUGGGACGGAGAAACGGUCCAGACUCCUACGGGAGGCAGCAGUGGGGAAUUUUGGACAAUGGGCGCAAGCCUGAUCCAGCCAUGCCGCGUGUCGGAAGAAGGCCUUCGGGUUGUAAAGGACUUUUGUCAGGGAAGCGGUACCUGAAGAAUAAGCACCGGCUAACUACGUGCCAGCCGCCGCGGUAAUAC
rnacentral:rRNA from 1 species